UCGUGCUAGCCGGGGAACUAGCGGUGCCCUGCACCCACAAUCCGCUUUAGUGGGGGUGAAUUCCCGCCCGAGGUUUCGUCAUUUGGGGUCUGACCCCCGUAAGCGGUGUUGAAGGUUGGGUCCCACGCAAGGGGACAUUGCUGAAC
rnacentral:SRP_RNA from 1 species